UAUGGGGGAGCAAGCGUUGUUCGGAUUUACUGGGCGUAAAGGGCGCAUAGGCGGUCGUGACAAGUCACUUGUGAAAUCUCCGGGCUUAACUCGGAACGGUCAAGUGAUACUGUCGGACUAGAGUACAGAAGGGGCAACUGGAAUUCUCGGUGUAGCGGUGAAAUGCGUAGAUAUCGAGAGGAACACCUGCGGCGAAGGCGGGUUGCUGGGCUGAUACUGACGCUGAGGCGCGAAAGCCAGGGGAGCGAACAGG
rnacentral:rRNA from 1 species